GACGAACGCUGGCGGCGCGCCUAACACAUGCAAGUCGAACGGAGCUGAGAGAAGCUUGCUUUUCUUAGCUUAGUGGCGAACGGGUGAGUAACGCGUGAGUAACCUGCCCUGGAGUGGGGGACAACAGUUGGAAACGACUGCUAAUACCGCAUAAGCCCACGAUCCGGCAUCGGAUUGAGGGAAAAGGAUUUAUUCGCUUCAGGAUGGACUCGCGUCCAAUUAGCUAGUUGGUGAGGUAACGGCCCACCAAGGCGACGAUUGGUAGCCGGACUGAGAGGUUGAACGGCCACAUUGGGACUGAGACACGGCCCAGACUCCUACGGGAGGCAGCAGUGGGGGAUAUUGCACAAUGGGGGAAACCCUGAUGCAGCGACGCCGCGUGGAGGAAGAAGGUUUUCGGAUUGUAAACUCCUGUCGUUAGGGACGAUAAUGACGGUACCUAACAAGAAAGCACCGGCUAACUACGG
rnacentral:rRNA from 1 species